GGAUGAACCAAACGUAAAGUUAAAGUGCCUAAAAAUACGUUCAUCAGAUACCACAAAAAGGUGUUGAUUCAUCUUGACAGUUGGACAGUGGCCAUGGAAGUCGGAAUCUGCUAAGGAGUGUGUAACAACUCACCAACCGAAUGAAUUAGCCCUGAAAAUGGAUGGCGCUUAAAACGUAUUACUUAUACUUUACCAUUAAAAUAAAUGCUAAAUUUUAAUGAGUAGGAGGGCGUAUGGAUAAUUUAGAAGACUGAUAGUAAUGUUGGUUGGAAUUUAUCUUUAGUGCAGAUCUUGGUGUAGUAGCAAAUAUUCAAUAGAGAACAUUGAAGACUGAAGUGGAGAAAAGGUUUCCACAUGAACAACACUUGGAUGUAGAGUUAGUCGAUCCUAAAACGGUGGGUUAAACUCCAAAUACAUGAAUACUUGUAUUCUGUACCGUGAAAGGGAAACAGGGUUAAUAUUCCUGUACUAU
rnacentral:rRNA from 1 species